GGCUCAAUGGUCUAGUAGUAUGAUUCCUUCUUCGGGUUCACCCGAGAAUGGAGGAGGUCCCGGGUUCAAUUCCCGGUUGAGCCC